AAUAAUCAUGGGCCAGACUGGGAAGAAGUCUGAGAAGGGACCAGUUUGUUGGCGGAAGCGCGUGAAAUCAGAGUACAUGCGACUGCGACAGCUCAAGAGGUUCAGGCGAGCCGAUGAAGUGAAGAGUAUGUUUAGUUCCAAUCGUCAGAAAAUUUUGGAAAGAACGGAAAUCCUAAACCAAGAAUGGAAACAGCGAAGGAUACAGCCUGUUCACAUCCUGACUUCUGUGAGCUCAUUGCGCGGGACCAGGGAGGCCAUUCACCUGCUCUUCCCUCUACGAUUUUCCAUAACACAGUUUUUACUUGGAACCAGCCUUCUGCCAAGAGUCUCAGUUUGGUUGUGUACUCCUACAACUCCUAUUUUUGGCUUGACUUCCCUCUCCAGCUCCCAGUGGUCCAGCCACACAGUCGCCUAUUGUACCAGCUGGUUGAUUGUUCGGUGACCAGUGACUUGGAUUUUCCAACACAAGUCAUCCCAUUAAAGACUCUGAAUGCAGUUGCCUCAGUACCCAUAAUGUACUCUUGGUCUCCUCUACAGCAGAAUUUCAUGGUAGAAGAUGAAACUGUUUUACAUAACAUUCCUUAUAUGGGGGAUGAAGUUUUAGACCAGGAUGGGACUUUCAUUGAAGAAUUAAUAAAAAAUUAUGAUGGAAAAGUACACGGGGAUAGAGAAUGUGGGUUUAUAAAUGAUGAAAUUUUUGUGGAGUUGGUGAAUGCUCUUGGCCAGUACAAUGAUGAUGAUGAUGACGAUGAUGGAGAUGAUCCCGAUGAAGGAGAAGAAAAACAGAAAGAUCUGGAGGAGAACAGAGAUGAUAAAGAAAGCCACCCACCUCGGAAAUUUCCUUCUGACAAAAUUUUUGAAGCCAUUUCCUCAAUGUUUCCAGAUAAGGGCACAGCAGAAGAACUAAAGGAAAAGUAUAAAGAACUCACUGAGCAGCAGCUCCCAGGGGCACUGCCUCCAGAAUGUACCCCGAACAUAGAUGGACCAAAUGCUAAAUCUGUUCAGAGGGAGCAGAGCCUGCAUUCAUUUCACACACUCUUCUGUAGGCGAUGUUUCAAGUAUGACUGCUUCCUACACCCUUUUCAUGCAACACCUAACACUUACAAGCGGAAGAACACGGAAACAGCUCUGGACAACAAGCCUUGUGGACCACAGUGUUACCAACAUUUGGAGGGAGCAAAGGAGUUCGCUGCCGCCCUCACUGCUGAGCGGAUCAAGACGCCCCCCAAACGCCCAGGAGGUCGCAGACGAGGGAGGCUUCCCAACAACAGCAGCAGGCCCAGCACCCCCACCAUUAAUGUGCUGGAGUCAAAGGACACGGACAGUGACAGGGAAGCUGGGACCGAAACAGGUGGAGAGAACAAUGAUAAAGAAGAAGAGGAGAAAAAAGACGAAACUUCGAGCUCCUCUGAAGCAAAUUCUCGGUGUCAAACGCCAAUAAAGAUGAAGCCGAACAGUGAGCCCCCUGAGAAUGUGGAGUGGAGUGGGGCCGAGGCCUCCAUGUUCCGGGUCCUCAUCGGUACCUACUACGACAACUUCUGCGCCAUUGCCAGGUUAAUUGGGACCAAAACAUGUAGACAGGUGUAUGAGUUUCGGGUCAAAGAGUCCAGCAUCAUAGCUCCAGUUCCCGCUGAGGAUGUCGAUACUCCUCCAAGGAAGAAGAAGAGAAAACACCGGUUGUGGGCUGCACACUGCAGAAAGAUACAGCUGAAAAAAGACGGCUCCUCUAACCACGUUUACAACUACCAACCCUGUGACCAUCCACGGCAGCCUUGUGACAGUUCGUGCCCUUGUGUGAUAGCACAGAAUUUUUGUGAAAAGUUUUGUCAGUGUAGUUCAGAGUGUCAGAACCGCUUUCCUGGCUGCCGCUGCAAAGCACAGUGCAACACCAAGCAGUGCCCCUGCUACCUGGCCGUCCGGGAGUGCGACCCUGACCUGUGUCUGACGUGCGGAGCUGCUGACCACUGGGACAGCAAGAACGUGUCCUGCAAGAACUGCAGCAUCCAGCGGGGCUCCAAGAAGCAUUUAUUGUUGGCACCAUCUGAUGUGGCUGGCUGGGGGAUUUUCAUCAAAGAUCCUGUACAGAAAAAUGAAUUCAUCUCGGAAUACUGUGGAGAGAUAAUUUCUCAAGAUGAAGCCGACAGAAGAGGCAAAGUGUAUGAUAAAUACAUGUGCAGCUUUCUCUUCAACUUGAAUAACGAUUUUGUGGUGGACGCAACCCGUAAGGGUAACAAAAUUCGUUUUGCAAAUCAUUCAGUCAAUCCAAACUGCUAUGCAAAAGCGUGUCUCUUUCUAGUCAUGAUGGUGAACGGCGAUCACAGGAUAGGGAUCUUUGCGAAGAGAGCCAUCCAGACUGGUGAAGAGCUGUUUUUUGAUUACAGGUACGACCCAAAGCAGGUGGGACAGCGCCCGAGGACACACUGUGCUGGAGUGGGAGGACGCGGUGAAUGAGGCGCAGCUGGGUGUCACUGGAUGUGUGUGCCUUUCUCUGCACCCACUGAAGAAACGAAUGGUGGGACAAGUCAACCGUGGGACUGACUGUGGACAAAGAACAAAGGAGUUAAGAGGAUGCGCAGGCUGGAACCGAGGCUCCCAAUGCUGGGAGCUGAUCUCUGGGGGACACAGCUGAGAACAUGCCAACUUACCAGCAGGUGCCAGAAAGCUGUAGCUUGCCAGCUGGUCUCUGGUCCUGCUGUCAGGGGCUCCUCAGUCAAGGACAGAGAGGACUCAUGCCCCCCUUGCUGGGAUCUUGGGAAUUUUCCCAGGAGCAGCCCGAGUUCAUCUGGAACUGUGGCUUCUUAUAUUUAAACAACUGGAUCGAACCAGAAUGAAGGAGCCACCGGGCUGUAUUGCACCUCCAAGUCUGACACUUGUUCACUGGUUGUACAUCACUCACUCACUCCCAGCUCGUCUACUCACUGUGACAAGUUCCCUCUUCUCAGUUUCCCCACCUGUUUCUCAGGUCAGGUGGUCAAAGGAUUAACCCCUUCAUCCUUACAAGUGGCAGAUGGAAUCAACAUGUCAUUGAAUCUCAUAGGCCACAUUCACGUCACCAGAAGAAGUCACAGAAAUGAGCAUCCAUGUUUGAAAAAAAGUUACAAGAAGUCUUGAGGGCUUAAAAUGCUAAGAUCUAGAGCGGUGAUGGCGAACCUAUGACACGUGUGUCAGAGGUGACACGCAAACUCAUUUUUUUGGUUGAUUUUUCUUUGUUAAAUGGCAUUUAAAUAUAUAAAAUAAAUAUCAAAAAGAUAAGUCUUUGUUUUACUAUGGUUGCAAAUAUCAAAAAAUUUCUAUAUGUGACACGGCACCAGAGUUAAGUUAGGGUUUUUCAAAAUGCUGACAUGCCGAGCUCAAAAGGUUCGCCAUCACUGAUCCAGAGAAUGCAGCCUGUAUCACUGGGGAUGUAAAUUUUCACAAUCAUUGUAUCUCUCACUUACAUGUAGGAAAUAGUAAAACUGAAAACAAAACCAAA